GAAAACUCAAGGGGCGAGGAGGCUGGUGAACCAGCUGGUGGGGCGUUCCUUUUCCCUUUCGUGCACCACCCCAUUUCCAGAGUGCGCGGCCGUCCCUUCCCAAAAUCUGAGGAUUUACAAUCAAGAGGAAAGAGGAGAGGUCCCCAGGCAGCCCUCCUGAAAGCUGAUUUUCUGGAGGCUGGAACUUGAGAGUUUCUUGAAGGGUGCAGGUGAGCGCAAGUACUAGUCCAUAGCGGUUGUGAAUGGCCUUGAAUUGCCCAAAGGAAGAAUAAGAAAAGUUAAAGUGAGAGAAAGGUUUUCUUGCUUCCCGGCGGUCCUAGAAAGGGAGAGAUCCUGAGCGCUGAGAGUGACUUACACUCCCCGGGGGCACAGCUAGGGCGUGAACGUGGUGGCUGCUGGACUUAGCAGCUGUCGGCAUCUGUGCGUUAUUGGGCAGGUGCAUAGCACGCGUGCGCGUUCAGAGUAGUUGUCCGACUCCACGGAGAUGCGACUGCAGCUUGCAAAAGGCAAUGAUCCUGCUACCCACCUCCCGGGGUCUGGAGCAGAGCCCAGAAGUCCAAUCUUCUGAAAGCUUGCGGUUGUCUUACGGUGUUACUGCCAGGAAGUCAUUUCAUCUUCUGUAACUGGACUCAGGGAGUUUAAAAAGCCUGAUCUCCCUUCUCUCAAAACUGACUGACUGUUGCCCCCACCUGGAAGAUAUUGAAAGCUAUUCACGAAGAAUAUAAACUACAGGCUUCCCCUUUCCCGUCUUUUUUCUUAAUUUCAUUUAAAAAAUAAUUUAUUUUUGAAUAGAUAAAUCUGGAAAUUUUUGUACAUUAAGAUUUCCAGAAAAGUUGUUAUAAGUGGUGACAUUUCUCUCAUACCUCUGAUUCAAACACAUUUUGAAAUUAAGAGCAGAAAAUAAAGGCUUGUUGGUAAUUGAUUCAAGUUUUUAUACUGUGAAACAACAUUAAGUGACUUCCAACUGUCUGAUAAAAUAUAAAAUAGUGCCCAAAGAUGAAGUUAACUGAUAGUCUUUCUUUGACUACCAAGACAUACAUAUAUAUAAGUACAUACAAACAUACAUACAUUAUACAUUUAUCAGAAAAGAUAUUAUUUUGAAUUUAGCUGUUUGCUGUUGUUGGAAUCAGUGAAAUAUUCACAUCUGGACACAUGAGAUGACAAAGAAUACAUAUUUGAUUUUGUAACUAAGAAGAUGAAAUUAUGAGUGUAUGUUGCAGGUGGGUUAGAUCCCUUUUUAAGGGGAUAAAAGGUUUCAAAUGUAUUUUAUAUGAAAACAUUCCCUGUUCCACAUUUUGGAAUUUGGAAUAAGAAAGUUUUCAUGUUUAAAAGUCACAGAAGAGACUGAGGGUGCUGUUAUCACUCGUGUAUUUAUGCAAGCUGCUUGCAUGAUAUCUUGUACUAUGCUAUUAACUGUACUUGAAUGGAUCAUUUGUAUCUAUCAUAUGAGUGAAGUAAUUUAUUGGCCAUCAAUAAGUGGUCUGGCUGCAUUUUAGGAACUACAAUAUGGUGUGU
rnacentral:lncRNA from 1 species